rnacentral:rRNA from 1 species
CUGUGAGCUCGAUGAGUAGGGCGGGACACGUGGUAUCCUGUCUGAAUAUGGGGGGACCAUCCUCCAAGGCUAAAUACUCCUGACUGACCGAUAGUGAACCAGUACCGUGAGGGAAAGGCGAAAAGAACCCCGGCGAGGGGAGUGAAAAAGAACCUGAAACCGUGUACGUACAAGCAGUGGGAGCACGCUUAGGCGUGUGACUGCGUACCUUUUGUAUAAUGGGUCAGCGACUUAUAUUCUGUAGCAAGGUUAACCGAAUAGGGGAGCCGAAGGGAAACCGAGUCUUAACUGGGCGUUAAGUUGCAGGGUAUAGACCCGAAACCCGGUGAUCUAGCCAUGGGCAGGUUGAAGGUUGGGUAACACUAACUGGAGGACCGAACCGACUAAUGUUGAAAAAUUAGCGGAUGACUUGUGGCUGGGGGUGAAAGGCCAAUCAAACCGGGAGAUAGCUGGUUCUCCCCGAAAGCUAUUUAGGUAGCGCCUCGUGAAUUCAUCUCCGGGGGUAGAGCACUGUUUCGGCAAGGGGGUCAUCCCGACUUACCAACCCGAUGCAAACUGCGAAUACCGGAGAAUGUUAUCACGGGAGACACACGGCGGGUGCUAACGUCCGUCGUGAAGAGGGAAACAACCCAGACCGCCAGCUAAGGUCCCAAAGUCAUGGUUAAGUGGGAAACGAUGUGGGAAGGCCCAGACAGCCAGGAUGUUGGCUUAGAAGCAGCCAUCAUUUAAAGAAAGCGUAAUAGCUCACUGGUCGAGUCGGCCUGCGCGGAAGAUGUAACGGGGCUAAACCAUGCACCGAAGCUGCGGCAGCGACGCUGAUGCGUUGUUGGGUAGGGGAGCGUUCUGUAAGCCUGCGAAGGUGUGCUGUGAGGCAUGCUGGAGGUAUCAGAAGUGCGAAUGCUGACAUAAGUAACGAUAAAGCGGGUGAAAAGCCCGCUCGCCGGAAGACCAAGGGUUCCUGUCCAACGUUAAUCGGGGCAGGGUGAGUCGACCCCUAAGGCGAGGCCGAAAGGCGUAGUCGAUGGGAAACAGGUUAAUAUUCCUGUACUUGGUGUUACUGCGAAGGGGGGACGGAGAAGGCUAUGUUGGCCGGGCGACGGUUGUCCCGGUUUAAGCGUGUAGGCUGGUUUUCCAGGCAAAUCCGGAAAAUCAAGGCUGAGGCGUGAUGACGAGGCACUACGGUGCUGAAGCAACAAAUGCCCUGCUUCCAGGAAAAGCCUCUAAGCAUCAGGUAACAUCAAAUCGUACCCCAAACCGACACAGGUGGUCAGGUAGAGAAUACCAAGGCGCUUGAGAGAACUCGGGUGAAGGAACUAGGCAAAAUGGUGCCGUAACUUCGGGAGAAGGCACGCUGAUAUGUAGGUGAAGUCCCUCGCGGAUGGAGCUGAAAUCAGUCGAAGAUACCAGCUGGCUGCAACUGUUUAUUAAAAACACAGCACUGUGCAAACACGAAAGUGGACGUAUACGGUGUGACGCCUGCCCGGUGCCGGAAGGUUAAUUGAUGGGGUCAGCGCAAGCGAAGCUCUUGAUCGAAGCCCCGGUAAACGGCGGCCGUAACUAUAACGGUCCUAAGGUAGCGAAAUUCCUUGUCGGGUAAGUUCCGACCUGCACGAAUGGCGUAAUGAUGGCCAGGCUGUCUCCACCCGAGACUCAGUGAAAUUGAACUCGCUGUGAAGAUGCAGUGUACCCGCGGCAAGACGGAAAGACCCCGUGAACCUUUACUAUAGCUUGACACUGAACAUUGAGCCUUGAUGUGUAGGAUAGGUGGGAGGCUUUGAAGUGUGGACGCCAGUCUGCAUGGAGCCG